AUUGAACGCUGGCGGCAUGCCUUACACAUGCAAGUCGAACGGCAGCACGGGUGCUUGCACCUGGUGGUGAGUGGCGAACGGGUGAGUAAUACAUCGGAACAUGUCCUGUAGUGGGGGAUAGCCCGGCGAAAGCCGGAUUAAUACCGCAUACGAUCUACGGAUGAAAGCGGGGGACCUUCGGGCCUCGCGCUAUAGGGUUGGCCGAUGGCUGAUUAGCUAGUUGGUGGGGUAAAGGCCUACCAAGGCGACGAUCAGUAGCUGGUCUGAGAGGACGACCAGCCACACUGGGACUGAGACACGGCCCAGACUCCUACGGGAGGCAGCAGUGGGGAAUUUUGGACAAUGGGCGAAAGCCUGAUCCAGCAAUGCCGCGUGUGUGAAGAAGGCCUUCGGGUUGUAAAGCACUUUUGUCCGGAAAGAAAUCCUUGGCCCUAAUACGGUCGGGGGAUGACGGUACCGGAAGAAUAAGCACCGGCUAACUACGU
rnacentral:rRNA from 1 species